rnacentral:rRNA from 1 species
AACUGAACUCAGGAAGAAGACCCGCCGAAUUUAAACAUAUUACUAAGCGGAGGAAAAGAAACUAACAAGGAUUCCCCUAGUAACGGCGAGUGAAGUGGGAUCAGCUCAAUAUGAAAAGCUGCCGCCUUUGGCGGUCGCCUUGUAACCUUGCGGUGGGGCAAUUGCGGGGAGACGGGUGCAAUUCGUCGUUGAGAUAGCGAGUCGCAGAGGGUAACAACCCCGUGCUGUCCGACUCUCCCCGAACAAGAGCCUCCCGUCGUGAGUCGUGUUGCUUGGGACUGCAGCGCUAAUCAGGAGGUAAUGUCCUUCUAAGGCUAAAUAUUUGCGGGAGACCGAUAGCGAACAAGUACCGUGAGGGAAAGAUGAAAAGAACUUUGGAAAGAAAGUGAAAGAGUACGUGAAAUUGUUGGAAGCAAGCGAAUCAGUCUGUCCCGGCGUUGGGGAUUUUUCUCCGCGCCGACGCAGGAUCGUCUCGGGCCCCGCUACAAUGCGCGCCAUGCGGCUUCGCGCCCUGGCUGUCGUCCGGCGGGCCCCGGGUUGAGGAACGCGUCGUAGCCUGCACCGUCAGGUGCCCUACGGCCAUGAUCCUGCCUACUGGACUGAUCCGACCCGUCUUGAAACACGGACCAAGGAGUCUGCCAUGUGUGCGAGUAUUAGGGUGGUAAACCCCGAUGCGAAGAGAAAUCGAGAUUGUCUGAUCCCUUCUGGGGUGCACGACAGGCAGAGCGUUGUAAUUUCUGUUCAGUGCCUAGCAGGAGCAUUCAUGCCGGGACCCGAAAGAUGGUGAAUUAUGCUUGUGCAGGGUGAAUUCGGGGGAAACCCCGAUGGAAGCUCGAAGCGAUACUGACGUGCAAAUCGUUCGUCCGACAUGAGUAUAGGGGCGAAAGACUAAUCGAACCAUCUAGUAGCUGGUUCCCUCCGAAGUUUCCCCCAGGAUAGCUGGAAUUCACUGUGAGUUUUAUCAGGUAAAGCGAAUGAUUAGAGGACUUGGGACAGAAACUGUCUCAGCCUAUUCUCAAACUUUAAAUGGGUGAGAGGCAAGGGUUGCUUAAUUGAACUUUUGCGUUGAAUCAGGGUUCUUAGUGGGCCAUUUUUGGUAAGCAGAACUGGCGAUGUGGGAUGCACCAGACGCUUGGUUGAGGGACCUAAGUACUCGCUCAUUCAGAUACCACAAAGGGUGUUGAUUCAUUCAGACAGCAGGACGGUGGUCAUGGAAGUCGAAAUUCGCUAAGGAGUGUGUAACAACUCACCUGCCGAAUGAAUUAGCCCCGAAAAUGGAUGGCGCUCAAGCGAGUCCCCGAAACCGGGCCAUUAGGGUAGAUGUGAAGCCUUAAUGAGUAGGAGGGCGCAGCGGUCGCAGCGAAGGCGCGGGCGCGAGCCCCGCUUUGAGCGGCCGUUGGUGCAGAUCUUGGUGUUAGUAGCAAAUAUUCAAAUGAAAAUUUUGAAGACUGAAGUGGAGAAAGGUUUCACGUCAACAUUAUUUGGACGUGAGUGACUCGGUCCUAAGGUAUUCCGUACGGGAUUCAGAAGGCGCGAUUUAUCGCGCCAUCGGCCAAAAGGGCAAUUGGUUAAAAUUCCGAUAGCCGGACACGGUGCUGAGCGGUGACGCGUUUCUAACCUGGCGACGGUUGCCCGAACCCCGGGAAGAGUUAUCUUUUCUUUUUGACAACGAACACGCGUCUGAAACGGGAUUGUCUCUAGAUGGACGGGUGUUCGUGGCAGAGCGGCUGACUUCCUCAGCUGUCCGGUGCGUUCGGGAAGCCCCUUGAAAAGCCAGGGGCGUGGUUUGCACUCGGUCCGGGCCGUACUCAUAACCGCAUCAGGUCUCCAAGGUUAAAAGCCUCUGGUCAAUAGAAUAAUGUAGGUAAGGGAAGUCGGCAAAUUGGUUCCGUAAGUUCGCGAUGUGGGAUGGCUCGUCAGACUGGAUGGAAGAGGCUCGGUCCGCGAAGGUGGCUAGCCUACAGGACUGGCUAGGUUCCCCUCGGGGGGCCCGGCCGGGCUUGUUCGGUAGGCUGCUGGAGGGGUCGAGACAGUGCCGGGGCCUUUUGGACCCGGUUACAUUCUCGCCAUAACAAGCAGUUAAUGAUGAACUCGUAGUGACCACAGGAACCCGACUGUUUAAUUAAAACAAAGCAUUGCGAUGGUCGUAAGUCGAUGUUGACGCAAUGUGAUUUCUGCCCAGUGCCAUGAAUGUCAAAGUGAUGUGAUUUAACCAAGCGCUGGUAAACGGCGGGAGUAACUAUGACUCUCUUAAGGUAGCCAAAUGCCUCGUCAUCUAAUUAGUGACGCGCAUGAAUGGAUCAACGAGGUUCCUACUGUCCCUAUCUACUAUCUAGCGAAACCACAGCUAAGGGAACGGGCUUGGGAGUAACGGCGGGGAAAGAAGACCCUGUUGAGCUUGACUUUAGUCUGACAUUGUGAAAUGACCUGAUUGGUGCAGCAUAAGUGGGAGCGCAAGCAACAGUGAGACACCACUACUUUCAGCGUUGUUUUACUUACUCGGUUAGUAACCACGGGAUGCUAUAUCCCAUUUCUAGUGUUGAGGCCUUCGGNCUGAGGUUCGUCGUGGACACUGUCAGGUGGGGAGUUUGGCUGGGGCGGCACAUCUGUUAAAUGAUAACACAGGUGACCCAAGAUCAGCUCAGAGCGAACGGAAAUCGCUCGUUGAGUGUAAGGGCAAAAGCUGAUUUGACUUUCCGUUUCAGUAGAUCGGGAAGCAGUGAAAGCUCAGGCUUAGCGAUCCUUUAGAUCCUCGGACAUUGAGGCUAGAGGUGUCAGAAAAGUUACCACAGGGAUAACUGGCUUGUGGCAGCCAAGCGUUCAUAGCGACGUUGCUUUUUGAUUCUUCGAUGUCGGCUCUUCCUACCCCUUUCUCGCAUAAGGGAAAAAAGGUAAGAUGUCCCCCCCCC